GACGAACGCUGGCGGCGUGCUUAACACAUGCAAGUCGAACGGAAAGGCCCUGCGUUUGUGGGGUGCUCGAGUGGCGAACGGGUGAGUAACACGUGAGUAACCUGCCCUUGACUUUGGGAUAACUUCAGGAAACUGGGGCUAAUACCGGAUAGGAGCUCCUGCUGCAUGGUGGGGGUUGGAAAGUUUCGGCGGUUGGGGAUGGACUCGCGGCUUAUCAGCUUGUUGGUGGGGUAGUGGCUUACCAAGGCUUUGACGGGUAGCCGGCCUGAGAGGGGGACCGGGCACAAGGGGACUGAGAGAGGGACCAGUAGGGUAUGGGAGGCAGUAGGGGGGAAUAUGGCGGAAUGGGGGGAAGCCUGAUGUAGCAACGCCGCGUGCGGGAUGACGGCCUUCGGGUUGUAAACAGAUUUGGCAGGUGAUGAAGCGGGAGUGACGGUAAUGGGUAAAGAAGCACCGGCUAACUACGUG
rnacentral:rRNA from 1 species